GUUCCGGAGGGUUUCUCACAGGGAGCUUUAGCCCAUGUUGGGGUCCACAAGGGCUUCCCUGAGGCAGUGAGCUGUAAGUGAGAUCUGCAGGAUGCUGCAGGGAGAGCUGUCCCGCAAGGGGACAAGGACAAAGGCUGGAGGGAGCAGCCCGCGGGCCCUGGAGGGGCAGGACACAGAGGUGAGGGGGCUCUGCCGGGGCUGGAGGGCUGGGCAGCGCUGGGGGAGCCUCUGGCUGCCGUGAGUCCAGGAGGCAGGAGAUGGCUCCCAGAUGGAGUGGGGAAGGAGGAGAAUGACUGAGGGAGGCCCGGGAGGGUGCUUCUGCAGAUGCCCAGGGAGGUGACAGCAGGGGCCUGACUGGGGGAGGCAGAGGUUGGGGAGGGAGACAGCCAAAGGUGGGGACCAGGCUGUGCAAUGGGGUGAGGGGAGGGAGCUCCGAGGCCUCGGGCUUCACCAACCAGGGGUUCCUCUUUCAGAGUCAGAGAGCAGCGGGGGACCAGCAGAUCGGUGGGGGCUCUCGGAGGUGUUACGUUCAAAGGGCCUCUCUUGGCCACAGGGGCCUCCCUGGUCACUGGGUGCAGAGUCUGCCCUGUCUGCACGCUGGCAGGCAGCCUUCCCUGAUCUCCCAGGCUGGAAGGGGGCUCCCAGGACCCCAGGCUGCCACCAUCAGCGCAACUACAUUUGGUGACGAUGUGUCUUUGCUCUGGCUUCCCUACCAGCCAGGGUGCAUCUCAGGAGCUGCAUCUUGUUGUGGGGGUACCUGCGUCCCUCAAAUCACCAGGCAGAAGGUUGGACACAAAGCAGCUCAUGAGGGUGGGAAGGAAGGCGUGGCAGAGUUAAGUGACCAAAGUCGCGGACUGAAUGCGUGGCAUGGCCUGACGGAGCCCAGUCCUCCACCGCGCUGCACUCAAAGAACCCCGGAGGCGCCCGGACACCCCAUCCCCUCCUCCUACCCAUCCAGAGGCCACCCCCAGUCACCUCUCAUCGGUCUAAGACAACUUCAUCGGUCCGAGCCUCACCCCCUCCUGCCUCUCCUGGAAUCACUUCUCCUUGAAACAGCCUGAGGGACAUUUUCAAAUUGCAAAGCUGUUCAUGCUGUUUUCCUAAAACU